AUUCGAACAACUUCCUCCAACGGAUUGAAGAGUACGAAAGAGAGAUCCAACGAGUGAUGCAAAAUGGAAAUAACUUAAUUAAUUUAGGUUCUCUGGUUUCCUCUACAGCAAGCUUUCGUUCCCUUCUUUCUCUCUGCUUCUCUGCUGUGCGGCGGAGCUCGAUCGGAGUUGGACUGUCGGACGACUCCAACCGGAUGAUUUAUUAUUUUCAGUGGUGAAAUGAUAGGGAGAUAUGCCGCUGCAUCGAGAUCUUGGUGCACAUGCACCCCAUCCAUAGAGACUGGAUCUACAA